UACGUAGGGGGCAAGCGUUGUCCGGAUUCAUUGGGCUUAAAGGGCGCGUAGGCGGCUCCGCAAGUCGGGGGUGAAAUCUUUCGGCUCAACCGGAAAAGUGCCCCCGAUACUGCGGGGCUCGAGGGGGAGUAGGGGCGGGACGGAACCGUUCCGGGUGGAGCGGUGAAAUGCGUUGAUAUCGGAAGGAACGCCGGGUGGCGAAAGCGGUCCGCUGGGUCCCCACUGACGCUGAGGCGCGAAAGCCAGGGGAGCAAACGGG
rnacentral:rRNA from 1 species